UAGUAUACGAUUGUCUCAAGAUUAGCCAUGCAGGUCUAAGUUCAUGCCGCAUUAAGGUGAGACCGCGAAUGGCUCAUUAUAUCAGUUAUGGUUCCUUAGAUCUUCGGUUACACUUGGACAACCCUGGUAAUUCUAGAGCUAAUACAUGCAUCCAUGCACCGACCUCCGGGAAGGUGUGUUUUUAUUAGCCCAAAACCAAUCGUUGCCUUCGGGUGACGUCCCCGUGGUGACUCAGAGUAACUUUGUUCGGAUCGCAUGGCCUUCGUGCCGGCGACACAUCUUUCAAAUGUCUGCCUUAUCAACUUGUUGGUUGGUUAAAUGCCAACCAAGGUGGUAACGGGUGACGGGGAAUCAGGGUUCGAUACCGGAGAGGGAGCCUGAGAAACGGCUACCACAUCCAAGGAAGGCAGCAGGCACGCAAAUUACCCACUCCCGGCUCGGGGAGGUAGUGACGAAAAAUAACAAUACGAGACUCAUCCGAGGCUUCGUAAUUGGAAUGGGUACACUUCAAAUCCUUUAACGAGGAACAAUUGGAGGGCAAGUCUGGUGCCAGCAGCCGCGGUAAUUCCAGCUCCAAUAGCGUAUAUUAAAGUUGCUGCGGUUAAAAAGCUCGUAGUUGGAUCUCAGUCUCGGGCGGACGGUCCAUUUUACGAUGGUACUGUCCGAAUCGGACAUUUGGCCGCCUUUCCCAGUAUGCUCUUCACUGAGUGUGCUGGGAGAGUGGCACGUUUACUUUGAAAAAAUUAGAGUGCUCAAAGCAGGCUCUUGCCUGAAUCUUCGUGCAUGGAAUGAUGGAAUAUGGCCUUGGUUCUAUAUUGUUGGUUUCCGGAACUCGAGGUAAUGAUUAAGAGGGACGGACGGGGGCAUUCGUAUUGCGACGUUAGAGGUGAAAUUCUUAGAUCGUCGCAAGACGGACUACUGCGAAAGCAUUUGCCAAGAAUGUUUUCAUUAAUCAAGAACGAAAGUCAGAGGUUCGAAGCGAUCAGAUACGCCCUAGUUCUGACCAUAAACGAUGCGAACUGGCGAUCGUCGUGUAUACGAUGACUCGACGGGCAGCUUUCGGGAAACAAGUGUUCUGUUCGGGGAGUAUGGUUGCAACUGGACUUAAGA
rnacentral:rRNA from 1 species